UCAGCUUGUUGGUGAGGUAAUGGCUCACCAAGGCGUCGACGGGUAGCCGCCUGAGAGGGUGACCGGCCACACUGGGACUGAGACACGGCCCAGACUCCUACGGGAGGCAGCAGUGGGGAAUAUUGCACAAUGGGCGCAAGCCUGAUGCAGCAACGCCGCGUGAGGGAUGACGGCCUUCGGGUUGUAAACCUCUUUUAGCAGGGAAGAAGCGAAAGUGACGGUACCUGCAGAAAAAGCGCCGGCUAACUACGUGCCAGCAGCCGCGGUAAUACGUAGGGCGCAAGCGUUAUCCGGAAUUAUUGGGCGUAAAGAGCUCGUAGGCGGUUUGUCGCGUCUGCUGUGAAAUCCGGAGGCUCAACCUCCGGCCUGCAGUGGGUACGGGCAGACUAGAGUGCGGUAGGGGAGAUUGGAAUUCCUGGUGUAGCGGUGGAAUGCGCAGAUAUCAGGAGGAACACCGAUGGCGAAGGCAGAUCUCUGGGCCGUAACUGACGCUGAGGAGCGAAAGGGUGGGGAGCAAACAGGCUUAGAUACCCUGGUAGUCCACCCCGUAAACGUUGGGAACUAGUUGUGGGGUCCAUUCCACGGAUUCCGUGACGCAGCUAACGCAUUAAGUUCCCCGCCUGGGGAGUACGGCCGCAAGGCUAAAACUCAAAGGAAUUGACGGGGACCCGCACAAGCGGCGGAGCAUGCGGAUUAAUUCGAUGCAACGCGAAGAACCUUACCAAGGCUUGACAUAUACGAGAACGGGCCAGAAAUGGUCAACUCUUUGGACACUCGUAAACAGGUGGUGCAUGGUUGUCGUCAGCUCGUGUCGUGAGAUGUUGGGUUAAGUCCCGCAACGAGCGCAACCCUCGUUCUAUGUUGCCAGCACGUAAUGGUGGGAACUCAUGGGAUACUGCCGGGGUCAACUCGGAGGAAGGUGGGGAUGACGUCAAAUCAUCAUGCCCCUUAUGUCUUGGGCUUCACGCAUGCUACAAUGGCCGGUACAAAGGGCUGCAAUACCGCGAGGUGGAGCGAAUCCCAAAAAGCCGGUCCCAGUUCGGAUUGAGGUCUGCAACUCGACCUCAUGAAGUCGGAGUCGCUAGUAAUCGCAGAUCAGCAACGCUGCGGUGAAUACGUUCCCGGGUCUUGUACACACCGCCCGUCAAGUCAUGAAAGUCGGUAACACCUGAAGCCGGUGGCCUAACCC
rnacentral:rRNA from 1 species